UCUUCUGAGAUCCUAAUGCCAUUAUGUAUCUUAAAGCUCCACCACAUAAGUAUGUUAAUGUUUUUAAUUACUGACAGUCAUAUGUAUCCAAAUUCUAAUUUCAUUUGAGUUUAUAUCUGCAUGGCUAGCCUUUCAUGUGUGAAUUGUCCUCUGAAGCAUAUGCUUGGAAGUGUUGACCAGCCUAUUUGCAAUUCUGUAAAUUCCUGCGUAGUUGUAAAAUGUAAUACUUGAUAUGAUACGUGGGUGCUGCAUUUGAUUUAUUUUGUAGUUCUGCUCUUUACUAUCUGGUCUUUGUUCAAAGAAAGACCUCCAGCAUUGAGUUUAUUGAUUUCUAUAUACAAUCGUCAAUAUGACAGGGAAAGAGCAGAAAACAAGCACGAAAACCUCAGAAAGCUGCUCCUCCAAACAAAGCAGUCAAAAUUUCUACUGAGAUGGAUGAUAGAAAGGGUUGCAUUUCCUCAGUUUUGGAGAUUGUGGCGUUUUGUUCAUGCAGAGGCCAAGUUCAAAAAUCAACUAUGAGGCCUUGAAGAAAUUAAAUGAAGAGGAUGGUAAACAUGCAGCUGACUUUGAAGAAGGCAGCCAUGGUGAUAUGCAGCACUCAAAUGACAAAUUCGACGGUGAAGCACAAAGUUUUAGAGGCAGUUAUGAUGAUGAGUUGGAUAAUGAACAUGCAUAUAGUGAAGAUGCUGAAGGCAGACAAGGCUAUGAAGACGAAGAUACAUAUUUUCCAAAUGAUGGUUAUAAUGAAUAUGGCUGUGAGGAUGAGUAUUGUUUUGACGACUUCUGACACUCUCUGUUUGUAAUGAUUCAAUGUUAUCUUUCUUUCAUGGUUGAGUUGCAUAAUGUAAUGACCUUAAAGCAAUUUUCUCCUGUGCUUUUGAUAAAUUGUUGAGAUGCAUCGGGAUUGUAUCAGUCUAAAGAGAAACUCAUUUGAGCAUUGUUUCUAUAUUGAAGUAUAAGAAAGAAAAAUGAGCACAAUUCUAUAGGGAAACUGAUAGGUUCAUAAUUUCAUACAUUUUUAUACCCUUAAAUGUAGGAUUCUAGGCUUACUUCUUAUCAUUUUUGAGUCAUUUACUUUGUGUUUGUGUUUUGUAGGUUAAAUUGGAGAAAAGAAAGAUUUGGAGCUUAAAAUCAAACGCAGGACUGAAAGGGUGCUUGCUAUCCUAAGUGUCCAGAAUUGUCUCUGUUUUGCGUCAACUUCACAGAUUAAACUGUACCUUCUAAGGAGGAAUUAGCAGGCAAGCCUUAUACCAUUGGAAAGAUAUGAAUGUUAGCUUUCUGAGGAAUUUUAAGGAAGUGGAUUCGCAUUUUUCUGGAGGAAUUUAUGAUGAUUUAAGUGAACCUAGUUCGGGAAGGCAGAUUCUGACGGAUUUUGCAUAUCUUUUGGGAAUCUGACUUGUGAGGCCCAAGUCCGUUGUUCUUAGCACUUGAAUGGAACAAGGCUGAACGUGUUUGACAUAUUUGGAGUAAUUUCUUGCAUUGACUUUAGUAACCCUGCGUUUCUUUGGAGAGAAGAAAUCUAUUCCAAGUUGGACUAGAAGACCGAAGAAGCCCAAGUCAAGUAGGGAUUGGGAGGGACAUACAAAGCAGAAAGCCUAGCACGUCUAGAGACACAAGAAGCAGCAUACUCCGCAAAGAACUAGGAGAAGAGAAGCUCUCACCAUCGCUGGACCCGAGUUCCUCAAUUCUUCCAUUGUUUGUUUCAUGUUUUCUUUGAUUCUAGUCAUGUUUUUCAUAGUUAUGGAUUGCUAAACUUCUAAGCUAGGGCUGAGAUGAAGCCCCUAGUAUGACUAUUCUAUUAUU